rnacentral:lncRNA from 1 species
UAUACCAAUACCACCCCUAAUACAUUUCAUAUAGUUUGCAGCUAUAAAACAAAAUAUUCAAAUAAAUCAUACAGAAACACAUAUAAAUAUAAAUCAAAUUUUCAAAACCUUUAAUUCAGUACCAAUUCAAAAAGAGCAAAAAUCAUCAAAAACUGCAUGCCAACGCAGUUCCAGGGGAUUAUCAGACUUUCCCAAUUACAUUUUUCUCUCUCUUUUUUUUUUUUUUUAAUGAGAUUAUCAAAUCCUUUGAAACUGGAAGAACCCUUUUUCCCCAA